UACGGGGGGGGCAAGCGUUGUUCGGAAUUACUGGGCGUAAAGGGCUCGUAGGUGGCCAACUAAGUCAGACGUGAAAUCCCUCGGCUUAACCGGGGAACUGCGUCUGAUACUGGAUGGCUUGAGUUCGGGAGAGGGAUGCGGAAUUCCAGGUGUAGCGGUGAAAUGCGUAGAUAUCUGGAGGAACACCGGUGGCGAAGGCGGCAUCCUGGACCGACAUUGACGCUGAGGAGCGAAAGCCAGGGGAGCAAACGGG
rnacentral:rRNA from 1 species